AAACCGUGGUGUGGGCAACAUCUCAGCAAGUCCUUGUACCUCUCCCAUGCAUCAUACAUACUCUUAUCAUCAAAUUGCACAAAAGAAGAAAUAUCAUUAUGCAUUUU
rfam:Ricinus communis cultivar Hale ctg_1100012362886, whole genome shotgun sequence.